rnacentral:rRNA from 1 species
UCGUAGAGGGUGAGAAUCCCGUCUUUGACACGGACUACCAGCGCUUUGUGAUGCGCUCUCANCGAGUCGAGUUGUUUGGGAAUGCAGCUCAAAAUGGGUGGUAAAUUCCAUCUAAAGCUAAAUACAGGCGAGAGACCGAUAGCGAACAAGUACCGUGAGGGAAAGAUGAAAAGCACUUUGGAAAGAGAGUUAAACAGUACGUGAAAUUGCUGAAAGGGAAACGCUUGAAGUCAGUCGCGUCUGCCAGGACUCANCCUCGCUUCUGCUUGGUGCACUUUCUGGUUGACGGGCCAGCAUCGAUUUCGAUCGUCAGAAAAAGUUGGAGGGAAUGUGGCNCCUUUCGAGGUGUGUUAUAGCCCUCCAUCGCAUAUGACGGUUGGGAUCGAGGACCGCAGCACGCCUUUAUGGCUGGGNCUUUGCUCUCAUACGUGCUUAGGAUGCUGGCUUAAUGGCUUUAANCGACC